rnacentral:rRNA from 1 species
AGUGAACGCUGGCGGUAGGCCUAACACAUGCAAGUCGAACGGCAGCACAGUAAGAGCUUGCUCUUACGGGUGGCGAGUGGCGGACGGGUGAGGAAUACAUCGGAAUCUACUUUUUCGUGGGGGAUAACGUAGGGAAACUUACGCUAAUACCGCAUACGACCUACGGGUGAAAGCAGGGGAUCUUCGGACCUUGCGCGAUUGAAUGAGCGGAUGUCGGAUUAGCUAGUUGGCGGGGUAAAGGCCCACCAAGGCGACGAUCCGUAGCUGGUCUGAGAGGAUGACCAGCCACACUGGAACUGAGACACGGUCCAGACUCCUACGGGAGGCAGCAGUGGGGAAUAUUGGACAAUGGGCGCAAGCCUGAUCCAGCCAUACCGAGUGGGUGAAGAAGGCCUUCGGGUUGUAAACCCCUUUUGUUGGGAAAGAAAAGCAGCAGGUUAAUACCCCGCUGUUCUGACGGUACCCAAAGAAUAAGCACCGGCUAACUACGUG